rnacentral:rRNA from 1 species
AGUGAACGCUGGCGGUAGGCCUAACACAUGCAAGUCGAACGGCAGCACAGGAGAGCUUGCUCUCUGGGUGGCGAGUGGCGGACGGGUGAGGAAUACAUCGGAAUCUACUCUGUCGUGGGGGAUAACGUAGGGAAACUUACGCUAAUACCGCAUACGACCUACGGGUGAAAGCAGGGGACCUUCGGGCCUUGCGCGAUUGAAUGAGCCGAUGUCGGAUUAGCUAGUUGGCGGGGUAAAGGCCCACCAAGGCGACGAUCCGUAGCUGGUCUGAGAGGAAGAUCAGCCACACUGGAACUGAGACACGGUCCAGACUCCUACGGGAGGCAGCAGUGGGGAAUAUUGGACAAUGGGCGCAAGCCUGAUCCAGCCAUACCGCGUGGGUGAAGAAGGCCUUCGGGUUGUAAAGCCCUUUUGUUGGGAAAGAAAUCCAGCAGGCUAAUACCCGGUUGGGAUGACGGUACCCAAAGAAUAAGCACCGGCUAACUUCGUGCCAGCAGCCGCCGUAA